CGGCGGACGGGUGAGUAAUGCCUAGGAAUCUGCCUGGUAGUGGGGGACAACGUUUCGAAAGGAACGCUAAUACCGCAUACGUCCUACGGGAGAAAGCAGGGGACCUUCGGGCCUUGCGCUAUCAGAUGAGCCUAGGUCGGAUUAGCUAGUUGGUGAGGUAAUGGCUCACCAGGCGACGAUCCGUAACUGGUCUGAGAGGAUGAUCAGUCACACUGGAACUGAGACACGGUCCAGACUCCUACGGGAGGCAGCAG
rnacentral:rRNA from 1 species